rnacentral:SRP_RNA from 1 species
GCCAGGUGUGGUAGCACAUGCCUGUAGUCCCAGCUACUUGGGAGGCUGAGGUGGGAGGAUUGCUUGAGCCCAGGAGUUUGGGGCUGCAGUGAGUUGUGAUCACACCACUGCACUCCAGCCUAGGUGACAGAGCAAGACACUGUCUCUU